GGGGGGGGGGGAGAGAGAGAGAGAGAGAGAGAGAGAGAAACAGACAGAGACAGAGAUAUCCAGAACCAGAUACUGUCCCUUAGAUGACACCUCCAUGGAGAUUCCCUUCAGCUAAGCCCCACUUCCUGUACCCUUACCUCCCAAUAAUGCCAUCAAACUAUAAUCUCAUCUAAGGAUUAAUCUACAGAUGAAAUUAGAGUCUUUAUGACCUAGUUGCCUCAAAAACUCCAUCCUCUGAACACAUGAGCUUUUUGGACAUUUAAGAUCUAAACUGUAGCAAAUUCCACUCCAGAGCUAUACCUUACCUCUGCCUAAGCUUCUCUGCUUCUCUGCUCCCCUUCCUGGGCCCCACUUGUAGACCUUAGUGCUCAGACUCUGAGUUCAUCCUGCCAGGGUGGAUCUCGUUUUCACAGCUACAGACUUUGCCUUUGUACCAAGGGGAUUAGGAUAGAAAUAGCUCUUAGGCGCUGCUAUUCUACCUGGAACUAGCAUUCUGCCUUGCAUAUCAGCCUGGUGGCCUGGGUCUUUUACUGGAUGAUGGGUCUAUGGGGAUUCUUUCCAGGUUCUUGGUGUUUUGAACAAAGAAUUGGACAAGACACACAGAAAAGUUAGUGAAGGUGUACAUCUGUUAAAGGCAGAAAAGAGGUACACACUACAGGGCAAUAGCAGGCCAGUGGUCCUAAGGAUAAGGGAAAAGGGUCUUUUGUAUCCAAAAUUCCCAGGUUGGCUUCCUCCUUGUGCAAAUAAGGCAUUGGGACAUUUGUCUUAUCAAAAACUCACUUGGUGUCACAUCAGGUAUAAACUAUCCUGUUGGAAAACUCGCUUCGUUUCCUGCCAGAAAUGAGUAAAUAGUAAAUAGUAAAUGAGCUAUCAGAAACAACAUCUUUUGAUUGGUUGUGCCCACAUGUAAAAGGAAAGAUAGAAAAUAGCAUCUUCUGAUUGGUCCUUCGAAUAGUGCCAGAUUCAAAUGAGGGAUUGAAAAUACUGUUUUUUGAUUGGUUCUGUUUACAGUGCUUAGGAGCUGUGGAGUUACUUUGGAUCUUGUGUUCUGUGCAUGUCCUCUUAGGAAAAAUGUCACUCAACUUGUUUGCCAUAAUUUUUUUAGUACCUUUGACACAUACCCUGUUUGUUGCUCACUUUCCCCCAGCCCUAAUCCCCUACUUGAAGUCUGCAGUCCCAGAUGAAGCCUAGUGACACCUCCUGUACCCUGAUGUCUAGGAGCCACAUUGGUCAUUGAUACAUUUCUGGGCUGAGCAUGAUCCCUGGAAUGUAGUUGGCACUCAAUUCAUUGUCAGGUGAAUAAAUUUAUGGAUAUAUCUGCUUUGGUCAUUCCCUUAGUUUAAACUUACCCUCUUCAUGGGAACUCUAAGGCUCACUGUACUGUGCAUAAUGUUGGUGGGCUCUUAGGCCCCUUGGAAGCAGCCUCUGCCAAGGGUCCCUUCCUCAAGGACCUGUCUAACCUUUCAUUUGCACAAUGUUUGUAUAUCUCAUGUACCACAGUAAGGGUCUUACACACAUCACUGAUUCAGUAGCUCCUGAGCUGGGAAUUGCUCUCUCUGUUUUACUGUUGUAUUAAAUGAAGUUGCUGAGAGUUUAAGGGACUUGGCUUAGUAAUAUUCAGCUCUCUCCCUUCCCUGAGUUUCUUUAGGCUGACUCUGACCUGAAGCCCAAGACAUUCACAGAUAAUGGUGGUUAUUACCCAGAUGUGGCAUGUUAAGUGGGUAAAUUAUAAGAAGUGGCUCCUUCCCUUGCUUCCUUUACAGACUGGAGGUAUAAACUGAGGCAAGUCACCACACUGGGCAUCUGGUCACAUUUGGAAGAAGAGGACUCUGGUGCCUGUAUUUGUAUUCUCUGCUUCCCUUUUAUGCCUCCUCCUUGCCUGUGGGCAUGUCAUCUUUCAGGGUGGUCCCCUCUGAUUCCUCUUCCCAACCCUGCAGCCCAGCUUCAAUACAGCAGAUGGGCCUGGAUGUGACUAUGCUGCUGAUUGGCAGGAAAACCAUAUACUCAAUAAGGUAUCACUGUAGGGCUUGUUUUCUGGACAACUCCUUCCUAUGGUUGCUCUUCCCCUUGUGUCUUCCCAUUGUGGCAGCAGCAUGAAUCAUGUCAGAUGUUUAACUUAAAAGUGUGUUGGAAGGGUUUGCUGGAGCAUAUGCUGGUAGUGCAUCCCAGCUACUUUCUGUCCCGACCUCUUCUGGGAAGAUGGCAAGGUGCCUGUGCCACACCUCCUCCUCAUGUACCGCCUCAUCUGCUGCAUUUGCAUCAGCACCAGAGCUCUUGUUCUCUCCAAAUGAGUCAGGGGAGAGAUCUUGGAAGAGUAAUUAAUUUGAGCAGAUGUGUGUCAAUGUUGUAGGAAAUAAAAGAUGUCAGUACAAACCACCUGUGCAAACUCUGGCCAUAGAGGACCAGGAAUGCAGGUGGACCUCCCUUUUGGAAAACUCAGUUGGUGGAGGUCAUUUAUAUUACAAAAAGACUUACUUUACUGAAGGAUUUUCUGCCUCCUUCCUGAAAUUUAGAGCUCUUGGCUUAGUUAAGUAUUUUACAGGUCAUUAAGUACUUGACAGAGAAGCUUUAGGGACCAGAAAACUUUUAUGUUCAAGGUAAGAAUCAGUGCCAAUUACGGAUCUUUCAGAAAUGAAGAGGUAGCAUCCUGGAAAUUAUAUGUAAGUAUGUCCAUGGAAUAAUUGCAGUUGGACUCUCAACAUACGCACCCACACCUCUUUAGAGAUGCUCACCAUCCUAGAAGGCCUGUGCUUCCUGUGUAAAUGUGCUGCUUUUUGUUCUCUUUCCUUUUGUACCUGGAGAACAGGAGUGGAGAUUUCUGUGCCACUCUCCUAAUUGAUCCUCUGCUCCACUCACUACUGCAUUCCCCUGGGCUGGAAGCUUUCCUAACUGAAAAUCAUAGUUCAAUUCAGUGGCCUUUAAAGAUUUUUUUAUCAUAUGAUAUUUCUCUAGUAGACUUACUUUCCACUCCCAAGGCUCCUAUUUCAUACCUUUUCUGGCUUGAGAUCCCCUGCCUCACCUCCCACACUCUCCCUCUGAGUCUAGCCUUUCACCUCAGCUUUUAUUGCAGAAACAGCAGACAUCAGACUGGUGCUGUCUUCCCGCCCCAGCUCUGGACGCCUGCCUGCAGCAGCACUCCCAUGUAUGUACUCCAGAGCCUGUCCUCUGCAUGCACACUGGAUCCUAGCCUCUUACCUUUUUGAGAACCUCACCUGGCUUCAUCCCCGGCAGGGUAGAGAUGUGUUCUUUUUUCUGUCGUCUUUGAAAAGCCUGCUGUAGCUGUACUUUCUCUUUUGGCUGAUUUUCUAUUUCUCCUC
rnacentral:lncRNA from 1 species